AAUAUCCUGCCUGAUUUGUCAGCAGUCUUAUAUGUUUUGAACCAACAAUUGAUGAAAGGGAAAUUGCCUUCGUCUGUGGCUUGCAGGCCUUCCGUAUUUUACGAUGUUAGGAGCGACUAAGCAGAUGAGAGAUUACCCACCUGUGUAAACAGGUUUAAAAAUCUGAGACAGCAACGGUCAGGCGGGAUUUUU
rnacentral:other from 1 species